GCCAGGUGUGGUGGUGCAUGCUUGUAAUCCCAGCUACUCGGGAGGCUGAGGCAGGAGAAUCGCUUGAACCCAGGAGGCGGAGGUUGCAGUGAGCUGAGAUCAUGCCACUGCACUCCAGCCUGGGUGACAGAGUGAUACUCUGUCUCAA
rnacentral:SRP_RNA from 1 species